rnacentral:rRNA from 1 species
UACGUAGGGUCCGAGCGUUGUCCGGAAUUAUUGGGCGUAAAGGGCUCGUAGGCGGUUCGUCACGUCGGGAGUGAAAACUCGGAGCUUAACUCCGAGCCUGCUUCCGAUACGGGCAGACUAGAGGUAUGCAGGGGAGAAUGGAAUUCCUGGUGUAGCGGUGAAAUGCGCAGAUAUCAGGAGGAACACCGGUGGCGAAGGCGGUUCUCUGGGCAUUACCUGACGCUGAGGAGCGAAAGUGUGGGGAGCGAACAGG